AGGGCACCACCAGGAGUGGAGCCUGCGGCUUAAUUUGACUCAACACGGGAAAACUCACCCGGCCCGGACACCGUAAGGAUUGACAGACUGAGAGCUCUUUCUUAAUUCGGUGGGUGGUGGUGCAUGGCCGUUCUUAGUUGGUGGAGCGAUUUGUCUGGUUAAUUCCGAUAACGAACGAGACUCUGGCCUAUUAAAUAGACGGUGUAUCUUGAAGUAUACCGCGCUUCUUAGAGGGACAAGCGGCGUCUAGCCGCAUGAAAUAGAGCAAUAACAGGUCUGUGAUGCCCUUAGAUGUCCGGGGCUGCACGCGCGCUACACUGAAAUAAUCAGCGUGCGUGUACUUCGCCGAAAGGGGAUGGUAAAACCUUGAAAAAGUGCUGCGAGCGUGAGAUGAGAAAGCGAUUAUAUUUCGCGAACGAGAGGAACUCAGAGAAAGCGAGUGACAUACUCUCGCUGAGAUCACCUCUGUGCUCUGUGCACACCCCCCGCGUCUGUCCUACACAGAGCCUGACUUAGAGA
rnacentral:rRNA from 1 species